rnacentral:rRNA from 1 species
CAACGCCGCGUGAGGGAUGAAGGCCUCUGGGCUGUAAACCUCUUUUAUCAAGGAAGAAGAUCUGACGGUACUUGAUGAAUAAGCCACGGCUAAUUCCGUGCCAGCGGCCGCGGUAAUACGGGAGUGGCAAGCGUUAUCCGGAAUUAUUGGGCGUAAAGCGUCCGCAGGCGGUCUUGAAAGUCUGUUGUUAAAGCGUGGAGCUCAACUCCAUUUCAGCAAUGGAAACUAGAAGACUAGAGUGUGGUAGGGGCAGAGGGAAUUCCCGGUGUAGCGGUGAAAUGCGUAGAUAU